rnacentral:tRNA from 1 species
UCUAAUAUGGCAGAUUAGUGCAUUGAAUUUAAGCUUCAAAUAUAAAGACCUCUUUUUUUAGAA